CAGAGAGUGUGCAGAGAGGAUCUGGGUGCGGGUUAUCUUUUAGUCAGGAGGCCUUUGGAGAUUUAUUUGCUUUAUUGACAGAUUCAUGGGGGGGGGGGUAAAUUAUGCAAGCACUUGUGUCACCUUAUAGAAGAGUCAGAAAAAGAUCAAGAAAAAAAAAUCCCCUUUAGUUUCUGUGUCCUAGGAUAACGCUGGAGCAGGGUUUCCACGGGUGCACAGAAGUUCACCUGUCUUUCUAAGGAGCCUGCAAGGUCCAGACUGAUGCCUGGCUAAUAACUCUCUGCCGGGCUCCAGAGCCUGAAACUCCUCGGGAGUCAGCAAAGACAUAGGGGUCAGGGGACAGAGGGGCCCAGGAGGCCGGCUUCCUGGAGGUCUCAGGUCGCCCGCUGGCGGUCGGGACCCCACCACGCAGCGCGCAGAUCCCGGAGGGCGCCCAGGGGGCGCCGCUUCCACUUCAGCGUGGCUGGGGCUGGUCCAGUUCGCGCCGCCCCAGGCGGGAGAGUGGCGGCAGAUCAGCGGCCGGGCAAGAGGCUUCCCGAUAGCAGGCUUCCAGACAGCUGUGAGCCCUGUGGACCCGUGGUGCGACAGGUGCAAGGCAGGCGCCAAGGUAAUGCGGAAGAAGUUUAAGGGGUGGGUGCUCUCGGGCCCCUCGGCCGUCCAGGGCGGCCAGGAGAGCGCUUCCUGCUUGCUUCUUUGGCAGUAGCAACAGCAGCAAGUGUGAGCAUAUGUGUGCAGGGUACAUGGUGGGAGGACCUGGCCCCAGGCUCUGCGACCCAGGUCGCUGUGCUUCCUGAUCUGUCCCCAGGCCUGCCCUGGCCUUUGCUCCUUUCGCUUUUUAACCUGGUAGUUCAGGAGGGUGGGGAGCUGCUGAGAAACACUAGGGUUUUGAUCAGGAAAGAACUUCAGGGACCCUCAGGCCGUAUCCAGGCUCUUCAUUUCAUAGAUGAGGAGACUGAGGCUCAGAGAGGUGAAGUGCCUUUCCCAGGGUCCCAGAUUUAGAAACCAAAACUCCUGGUUUUCAGGACAGCGCUGCUAGGAGGCUGUGCCAUAUGGGCCCAGAGACACAGAGCAUCAAAAAGACAAAGGGACAAAAGAGAACCUCCCAGAGCAAAGGAAGAGGUCAGGAAAUGGGUGCUUCUGGGGCUUGGCUUCCUGCCUGGCCCUGCUUGUGCCCUGGUCUGGCUGUGUGACUCAGCCGGCCUUGUGCUGACUUGUCUAGGUGUGUGUGUGUGUGUGUGUGUGUGUGUGUGUGUGUGCAUCUACCCAUGCACCUGGGCAAAUCCUCUGAAUCCACUUGUACACAAUGCAUGUGCUGGGAACCUGCCCUGUUUGGCUAUAUGGAGGAUACCAAGAAUCCCCAAAGUAUUAGCUUUCUGCUUCAGAGAGCACAAAGGCUCAAUCAGGGGCAGUCCCCAGGGAUGGUCAGAGUUCAGGAGGAAGAAGCUAACCUAUGAGGUGGUGAGUUGCUUGUCUCUGGAAGAAACCAGCAUGUGUAGAGCCUUUCUCAAGGAUGUAGGCAUAGGGACAUGGAACCAGGCACAUAGAAUGGAAAUUAACAUGAAUUCAUGGGGAAGCAUUUGCUCAUGAAAGCUACUCUCUCCAUUGUUACUGAAUGAUGGAUGAGAGGCUUCAGGUAUGCUCUCCGAUGUCCCCUUACCUCUCAGGAGUUUAGAGAAGGGAUUCCUUCUGGAAGGAGAGACCUGGGAUGUGGCACUUAGGCCAGAAUUUGAAGAGGAGGUUGUGUCUGGUACUUACGGGGAAAGGAUAUUUGAGCAAAGUCGUGGAGGCAGGAUGUGUCAAAGGAACAAGGAAAGACAUAGUAUACAAUACUGUGAAGAAAGUUGGCUGGGAUCAGAUGGUAGGAGGCCUUGAGUGUUAGGUGAGGGAACUUGAACUUUAUGAUUAAGACUGGGGGUAUUUUCAUGGUUUCUGAGAGGAGAAAAGACGUUAUUGGAGCUGAGCUCAGGAGCACUGUGAUCUGUGGCAGUCUGAGAGGUGCUACAGAAGGGAAGUUGCAGGAGGCGUUAACUGGGAAGGUGACCUUGUGAGGCUGAGCAGGGCUGGUAGAGAUAGAGCAGAAGGGGCUCCACAAGAGACAUUGCUGUAAGAGGUGGGAGGGGCAGUCAUCUGUUCUAUGUCAGAGCCUGUGGUCAGGGAUUUAAUGAUCCCCAAACAACCUUCUGAGGAGAUUGUGAUUAUUGUCUUUAUGUUGUAGAGGAGGAAACUGUUAGUCGGAAAGGUUAAGCAGCAAAUAAGUGAUAGGAUAGGGAUCUGAACCUAGGGAAAGAUGGAACAGACCUGAUCUGGUAACUAAAUAAAUGUUGGGGGUGAGAGUAGAGGAGGAGACUCAUGACGACGGAGACUUGGGUUCCACUGCUUGAGUGACUGGUGAUACCACCAGUACAGAUGGAGCCCCGGGUACAGGGUCAGGUGCAGUAGGUUAGAGACAUGUCAUCCUGUGGAUGGACCCCAGCACUGGGACAGGAACUAAAGCAGCUGUCACUCCUGCCUUCUAGGCCCUUGUUGUGAUGGCUUGCUGAGCCUGCUAUGGGGAAGGGGGAUGGAAACUGCAGCCACCUGGGUGCUGGCAAGAUGCUGAAAGGAGCUGAGCCGAGGGAGGCAUUAUGGAGGGGGGUCCCCAGGUCCCCAGGGACUGGCAAGACAGUCACUGAGCUCAUAUCACCCCUCGCUUUUCUCCCAUCAGAAUGAAUGCAUCUUCUUUUGUAAUGCACAGGGACCCAGUUGCUCUCUCUCCCUUGGUGAGAAUUAGUUCAGUUGAUCUGUUUUCCCACCCCCUGGUUCCCUCCUAUUUCCUCCCAAACAGGCUAAAAGAUGCAGUUUUGUAUGGAACAGUGUGGAAUUGCAGAAUAGUAUGGAAUUGCUGUUUUAGAAGCCUAUGAGCAGGUCCUGAGCUUCUUACAGUGUCAAAAUCAUAGUGUUCUAGGGACAAGUCUGCUCUCUUGAAGCUUUGGAAAAUCAUGGUCUUUUGUUAGUCAUUAGUGAGUAAUAGAAAUGGGCCUAAAUCCUGAAGCUCCCAACCCUUGGGUUUUGCCUUCUCUAGCUACACGUGAGGGGCAGCCGUCCUGGAGAACAGCCUCCAGGCUCUCUGAUAGCACAGCUUUAUAGACAGAGGUUCUGGCACUGGAUGGACCACUUCAAACUUCUUCCCCUAACACAACACACAAGACACACACACACACACACACACACACAUCACACACAAAACAGCACAUUGUUUCUACUCAUCCAUCUAGUGGUUAAGUCAUUUCUUUGACAUCUUAAAUUGUUUCUUGCCUCUCUGAGCAAUUUGAUCAGGCACCAUUCAGUGGGAGAACCAGAAAGUAUCCAUUGGAGUAUUAGGGUCAGGGGGAGCCCUCAAGUAAGCCGAAAAGUACCUGUGUGUGAUCCCUGGGCCAUAAGGCAGCGACAGGGAAAAGGCAGAAAAGUGGAGGAUGACUGUGGGAGAAGAGGGAGUGGGGAGGAGGCCAAGUAAAAAAGGAAGGAAGGAAAAACUGGGUUCAUGGCAUGGACAACUGGUGGCCUGGGAAGAGCUAUGUCUGGGGCUUCAUUGGGAACCUGAGCCUGCUCAUUCUCAGAGAAGCAGCCAUGAAGCGGAGGGAUAACCAGGUAGACAUAACAAAGAGCUAGUUGGCCUUUUAAUAUAUUGUCCUGUCCAUUAUGGACACUUUUGAGUGAAAGGGAGAAUAUUAAGAAUCAUGCUGGGACAACAGGCAUCAGCCAGAAGGUCCUAGGCAAACUGUCAACUUCAUGGUAACCAAACACAGUAAGUACCAGACAUGGUCUAAGGACCCUGCAUAUGUUUGCUUGUCAAAGCCUCACUACCACCCCAUCAGUAGGAACUGCUGUCAUUCCCAUUUUACAGAAAAUUCAUUGAGGAACAGAGAGGCAAAGUAUCAUGUUCACAAUCACACAGCUAACCAUGGGUAGGAGCAGGGUUUGAACCCAGGCAGUUUGGCUUUUUUAGAGCUCCCCCCAAGCAUCAUAUUACAUAAGCUGUUACCUACAAAUGGCAUCCGCACAAAGAUUCCCUUCUCCCCCUCAGGACUCAGCAAGUGGCCUUUUGGGUCUUUAUUUCCCCUUCAUAAUUGCUCUAAAUGGCCCAUUAAGCAUGACUUAAUUUGGUGAAGGGGAGGCAGCACACUCUAGACUUUGUCCUCCACCAGCUCUGCAACUUGUGCAGCAUGGUUGGUCUUGGCCUCCAGUGUCCAAGUUCUGCUCCAUCUUGCUUUGUCCUGCUGUGCCUUUUCAGACUAGAUCCCUGAGGGCUGAAUUCCAUAUAGGAGGGACCUCUUGAAGGCCAGUGUUGGGAUUGGCUUCCUGAGGUACCUUGCCUGCCUAGGAUAUAGCCAGAGGGGUCCACUAUGUGAUGAACAUGCAGGGCCUCUUCCAGUUUGAGGAAGGUAGGGUUAGGGUUAGGGUUAGGGUUAGGGUUAGGGCACAUUCUUGUGGCACAUUCUUCUGGAGACAGUGCAUUCCAUUCUUUGCUGAGGGUCCCAGCGCUGGCUUUCUCAAAAUGCUAGCAGGGGACUUCCUUCCUCGCCUGAUGAUUGACACACCUGAAUAAGGCUGGCUGAAGGAAGCAUUUAUAGAGGCACAAGGCGGGUGUGGUAGAGCCUGACUCUGGGGAUACUCCAGGUGUUCCCAUGUGAUGCAGGGAGGUGGGAGCAGGCAGGCCUCCCCUGGGGUUCAAAUCCAAGGGCCUCUGUCUUUUCCACACCUAAAUAUUCUUUAUUUACACAAAGAUCUGAUUUUCCUGGGGGAGUCACAGCCUGAGAACUUGUGGGAGGGAGGAUGCAUUAAUUGGUUUUCUGUUGGUAAUGACAGUGCCAGGCUGGGUAAGUUACAAGAAAGAGAGGUUUAUUCUGGCUCAUGGUUCUAAAGGUUCAAACCCAAGAUCUUGCAGGCCCCAUGGUUCUGCAUCUGAUGAUGGCCUCACAUGGCAUGGGACAGGGUGUGUGGGUGUGCAUGUGUGUCUCCUCUAGUCUCUCUCCCUCCUCUUUUUAAUUUAUUUAUAUUUUAUUGGCGCGUAUUUGUUAUACAGGACUGUGGGUUUCGUUGUGGCACAUUCAUACACACAAAAACAUAAUUUGAUCAAUUUCACUCCUCCAACCACUCCCCCACCCCCCACCUCCACUCCCCACCCACAUCGCCUUCUUAUAAAGCCAUCAGGAUGCAAUGAUGGAUGUUCACCCUAAUGACCUUACCUAAUCUUGGUCACCUGCCAAAGGCCCCAGCUCUAAACACCACAACUGGUUUAAGAUUCCAACCUAGAAAUACCUCCCAAUGGAGAUUAAAGUUCAACAAAUGAAACCCUGGGGGGCACUCUCAAACCAUGUUGAAGUCACAGCAGUGGAAAGGGUGCCUUUCCCCAGGGAGGUUCAGCAGAGAGCCUCCAGGGCCUUAGCACCCAUCCCUAUGCUCCUAGAGUUCCUGGGGUCUGUGGAAUGCUCCGCCCUGCCAGGGUUGUCAGGAGAAAGGCGAGAAGGGCAAGAGGCAGCCCAGAGGCUGCAGGUGAGCCAAGGCCCACCUGGCCAGCGGGCAGGACUGCCCCCACUCUUGGAGCCUGCUCUUGGGGUUCCAGCCAGGCUGCUUCCUUCUCUCCUUUCUUAACUCCUGGCAGCACCAGGGAAAGUACGAGGUUGGCUUCAGUGGCUCCAUUACCAGUGCAGACAAGAGGAAAAUCUCCUAUUACCUGGGCAAUUGGUUUAUUUUCACUUUAUUUACUUUAGAGAUUGCUUGGUGUUGAGCUCCAGGAUUUGCAGCCAGCCAGCAUUCUCCUGGCCAAUUGAUGGAACUUUGCCACAUCACCUGCCUUCAUAACCACACACCCUCACAUGCUGAGCAGAGGGUUGGAUUGUGCUGAUGGGAGAGGGAGGCAACUUCCUGCAGCCUCUCCCUGACCAAACAGAACUCCAGGGGCCCUCUUGCCACUGUGCCUUGAGGUUGAAUGCACAAAGAUGUACCAGGCAUGUCCCAGAUCUUGGUGUGGAUGAACUCAUUCAGUCCUUAUAGCUGCUUAAUGAGGUGGGCACUGCUGUCAUUCCCUCAUGUUACACAGGAACAGGUCAAGGCUCUGAGAGGUAGAAAAACUUGCCCAAGGUCACACAGCUAAUAGGAGGCUGAGCUGAGAUUUGAACCCCGGUAGCCUAGCUGCAGGGCCCUGUCUUUAUUUCUCAGUCUGCCUCCUCUGACUUGUUCUGACUUUAACUAGUUAUGUGUUGUCAGGGUUAGCCCUCUAAACUGAGUUCUUCCCUAUUCAGUAAAAUGAGAUUAGUUUGCUGCCAGUCCGUCUCAGGUGAACAUAUUAGGGAUGGGAGAAGGCACAGUGGUCAAGGCUUACUUGGCCCUCUUACUUGUGAUGACUUUACCAGUCUCAAGUUAGCUGGUGAAUUCCAUCAUCCUUUCCUUGUGGAUCCUUCUCAAUGCCAGUCUUGAACUGAAGCUCCCCAGAAGGCAGGAAAAGAAUCCUAAUUAUCAUCUGUGCUUACUGAGUCCCUACUUUGUAAGCAAAGGAUCCUGCAGGGGAUACAGUUUAAAAAGGGCACGUGUGGUCCCUACUCUGGCAUGCAUAGUCCUCUUGAAGUGAUAUUCUUGUCUGCUUGAGCUGCCAUAACAAACUACAAGAUUUUUCUCAUAAUUCUGGAGGCUGGAAGUCUAAGAUUAUGAUGCCAACUUGUUUGGUUUCUGGAGGGCUCUCUCCUUGGCUUAUAGACAUUCACUUUCUUGCUAUGUCCAUACAUGGUAGGGAGUAAGGGGGUAGGGCUAGGGAGAGCCUACUCACCCCCACUAGCAUCUCCUCUUCCUCACCUUCAUGACCUCAUCUGAUCCUAAUUAUCUCCUAAAGUCCCCACCUACAAAUGCCAUCACAUUGGGAGUUAGUCUCUCAACAUAUAAAUUUGGGGGUGGUGGACACAAUUCAGCCCAUAGCAAGGGAUGAUCUAAAAAGACAACCAAUGAUCUUAGCAUCUUUAUGCAAGUGAGUGAAGCCUAUUUCCUGUGGCUUUCCAGAGAGGUGGGAUUGGAGCAGGACCUAGAUGAAUGGGUGGCCUUUGAAAAGGCAGAGAAGAAGCAGAAACAUUCAAGUAGGUCCUGGACAUGAACUGCAAGCUUUGUGGGCAAAGGUAUGUUAGUGGUCACUGGAAAGGCCUGCUUCCUGGAGGGUCCCCCAUAAGGUUUUUGUGUCACCAACUCCUCUGGCCAGAUUCCAGUAGAGCUACCCACCAGAGAGCUGCCUUGAGGACUUUUAAUUUUGACAACUGGAGGCUGGGAAGGAGCCUGCUGGGGAAUGCCACUGGACCUCUAGGGUCAGGGCAAUUUCUGGAAUGCAGAAGGCUGGGCAGCAUUUGUAGCAGGGACAGCCCUUUGCCCCCUAUGUAUUUUGCUCUAGGUUGGCAUGCCCUUCUGGGCACAUGAGUGGGUCAGGGAGAUCAGGGGGAAGGGGAUAAAGAUCCAGGCCAGAGACACAGCUUCUGCUUUAGAUAGGUUUUGUUUUCCUGCGGGAAGGAGGAGGUGAUGUCAAAACUGCCAUUCCUAUAAUCCGGGCAGCAAUGAAAUUUUAGAAACUUUCUUCCUGAGGCAAGGUUUUUGAGUAGAUGGCAUCGCUGCCCUCCCCAGAUGAGCACCAGCUGGGAUGGGUGAAGUUCUUGGGAGUUUCAUAUCAGGGGAGGAGUCACAGCCAGAAAUUACCAUCUGGGCUAGCCCAUCAGGAUAGCCCACUCGUCAGCAUGUGGAACUCAAGAUCUUUCUGCUUGUGGUGGCUUUUUGGCUUUUGAGUCUUCUGGGAGCUGGGGUUUACAAGGCAUCCUCAAUAAAGAUCAUGACUCAUGCCUCUUCAGUAUGGUACCAUGGUGCUUGUGUCCUCCCCACAGAAUCCCAUAGAUAGGAGGUCAUCCCACCUCUCCUUCAUGGUAUUUUUGCUUUAAUGUGUUCGGUGGGCUGAGGUUUGGGAUUUGGGGUUUUGUCUUUUAUUUCUAUAUUUUGCCUUUUUUUAUUGUGAUAAAAUGUACAUAACAUAAAAUUUAUCAUUUUAACCCUUCCUAAAUGGACAGUUCAGUGGCAUUAAGUACAUCCACAUUGUUAAUUUUUCCAUCAUCCCAAACUGAUAGGGUUGAGUUUAGUACUGGCUGUAACAGGCCUCACGGUGAGCCUCUGCUUCGGCUUCCCUCUGCACUCUAGGCCUCGCCAUCCCAUGUCUUCUCCACUUCGGCAAUCUUUCUGCUGCUAUUGCUCAUUACUUUCUGAUUUAUUUUAUUUUAUAUUUUUUUGAUUCAAUCAAAUGAGCUCCUGUGAGACUGCCUUUCUAGGGGCUGAGCACUUCGUCACUUUGUGUUUUUUUGUUGUUUUUUUUUUUUGGUACUGGGGAUUGAACCCAGUGGCACUUUACCACUGAACCACAUUCCCAGUCCAUUUUAUUUUGUAUUUUGAGACAGGGUCUUGAUAAGGUAUUAAAGUUGUCUUGAACUUGGGAUGGUCCUGCCACAGCCUCCUGAGUCACUGGGGUUAUAGGCAGGUACCAUUGUGCCCGGCUGAGCACUUUGUAUGGCACUUCAUUUAUUUUCCUAAGAGUCCUCUAAGGUAGCUGUUGUCCCUGACCCUUUCCAGAUGAAGAAACAGCAUUAUGAAUGUGACAACACUCCCAGAGCCAUGUAAUUUCAGGGCCGGGACUCAAUUUGGGCUUUCUGAUCUAUCGACCUUCAUCCACACUGGGGUGUCAUUGUAGGGAACCAUGCACAACUGCCCCUGUCUGGGAAUAUUAAUUUAUACUCCAGAAUAUUCUAGAAUACUCAGGGAUUGGCAUAUGUAUCAUGUGAUCCACGUUCUAUUAGGAUUCUUAACAGGAGCCUUUAGCCAAAAAGGAAUGCUUGAAAAUAGCUUAAUUAUAUACCAUAGAUAAAUUGCUAAUGCAAUUUACCAAACUGCUAAAUUAAGCUUUUCCACUAAUUACACACAUAUUAUAAAAGUGUGAGUUUAGCUUUGACCAUGUGUCCCUCCCCAGGCGGAGAGCUGGUGAGUCUUCUCCAGCAGGCGGGGGUUGGACAACCAGCUUCAUUCAUGUUCUUAAUUGUGGCUGACUGUGCUUUUCUGUCCCCUCUCGGUAUUUUGCUCUACCUUGAUUCUCUGUUUACCCAAGCACAAGCAAUUUAUUCCCAGGGUAUAGUUGUCCUGGCCACAAUACUGCAAGUGUAUUUCCUAUUUCUCCAGAGUGUUCUUUCUAGCAUCCAUGCCUUCCGUGAUGUGUGUUAUGGCACAUUUCCUUAUGUUUUGUCAUCACCUUCUCCAGGGGCUGCGCUGGCUCCUGUUCUUUUCUGGUACUCAGAUUUCUUGUGUUCCGCUUUGCUCAGGACAUAGGGUUCUGACUUGUGGCAGAUGUCUUAAUUCUGGGAAUGAAGCCAGUUGGGGAGGCAGCAAGACACCUAGUGGACUUUCACAUGGGCCCUGUGCUUAAUAAUAAGGUAAUGUAUCAGGUGCCUUCCAUGCACUGGGCACUUAUACUAAUGGAGGUCUUUGCAUCCCCAUUUUAUAGAUGAGGAGACCAAGGUUCAGAGAGGUUAUAUCACUUAUCUGGAUUUACACAUCCAGUCCUGAUAGAGACACCUACAUUCUGAACUCCUCACUCAGGUAGUUGAUCCCCUUGCACCAGACUGGCUCUUUACAGAGGAUGGAAUGCUAGGAUUGAGGGGCCUGCUCCCUAACAGAGCUCUGUUAACACACCUGCGAAUUAAGAGCAGGAAUCUUCUAGCUCCAUCCUGGGUGAGCUCUUCCAGGCACAGCACAUUCUGAAACACGGGGUAAGAGAGGUCAUUAAAAAAAAAAAAGCCUAAUAUAAAACUGCUUUUAUAGGAAUGCAAUUUUAAUACAUUGAACCACAGCUUGAAUCAGAAACAAAGACACACAAAAAGGAACUGAUUAGUGAAAUGAUUGUUAAUGAAAAAAUGAAAAUAUUACUAGGCUUCCAUUAUGUAACCACACUUUACAAAUGAAAAAUACUUUUUUAACACAGAAGCCCUCUUUAUUGGAAUUGAAAAUAGAUGGAAAAUGUCUACUUUGUACUGAACAGCAAAUAGAUUAUAACACACACUGUGUCUCUAUUUUCUGGCACUGUAUUAAGUCAAUAUGUUUUGUUGAAUGUUAAUGCCAAAAAAGCCAAACCAAAAUGGAGUAAUAGAUACUUUUUGAGCACCUACUAUGUACUGUGGAUGGUACUGGAAGAAAAAGGACACAAUGCUUUUUUUGACCAGACCCAAGUGCAAAGAACAUAUACAACGAUUACACAGACAGUAUGUACUGUAACUAGGUAAAUGGGCCUCCUAGUAUAGGAGGGUUCAGCAGGUAGGUGGUGGCAAGAAGUCCUGGGAGGAAUGUUCCAUGCCAGUCUUUUGGUCUAUCUUCAUAAACAGUAUCUGAAGGUCAUUCUGCUUGAAAAUUACACUCAGGAAGCCUUAACCCUACCACUAUUUCUAAGGCCCAUCCCCCACUCCUGCUACCUUUUACUGAUUCUGUUACAAUCGACAAGUGCUUACAGUCCUGUAAGAAGCCAGGAUUCCAGGCUUCCCUUCAUCUAGACAGGGCUUUGAGUGGGAUCCAGCCCAACUGGCCCUACUUUGGUGCACACUCUGAAUGGUUUCUAGAAUCAGCAUGGAUUUAGGUGUGUGUUCUAUGGACCAUGUUCCAUUAGUUUGGUGCUGUAAGGCUACCCUGUGGAAAUAGAAAGAAUCACCCUCUGCUUACACAGUGAUCCACCGGGAGAAGUCAACCCGAACAGGAGAUGUUGCCUUUGAGCAACAGGCUUACUACUGCAUCCUGUCAGGCCUGCUGCCUGGCUGAUUUUCUACCCCAUUACAGGGCCACUUGCAACCCAUCACACAUCUUAGGCCUAGUAAUGGUGGUCAGUCAUGUUGUCCCUGCCGCAGCCCCAAUUGCACAUUCAACCUGAGCAACCACAUGGACUCUGUGCAGCCUUUGAAAUCUGUGGGGCUGAGCUGUCCCAAAGGUGUUUUAGAAAGAGAUGUUAGCCAUCACUGUGGCAGUCACAGCUGACUGUCUCACACACACCCACUCUAUUGCUGAUGGCACUUAGCUCAUGAACUCCAGGUUGAUUGGCCUGAUUUGUGCUCCUUAGGGUAUGUUCUCAUUUUCUGGACUAAGACAUAGUUGAGUGACUAAACCAUGCCUCCUGCCCUCCUGCCCUGUCCUAACCUUAAUGCAAAUGCAAUGUGAUUCAAGUCCUGAUGCAGUUGCCUUAGGACCUGGGUCCACAGAAGCUGGAAGCAGGGGUCGGAUGAGUCAGGGGACUCAGGUAGAGGGGCUGUGCUUGCCAGCAGCAUCAGGUGCCUGGUGAGAGGAGCACUGUUCAGGCUCAGCUGCACCACUUUCUCUCUGUGGGUCUCAGUUGCCUCAGCUAUACAAGCUGCCCUUCAUGUCUUAGUAGGGGUGCUAUGAAGAAGACCUUAAUAAAGACAAAGCCGCUUCACCAGGGUUGCUUAUUUUGUUUUGCAGUCAUGUAAUUUCCAUUCAUUCAUGUGUGGCCUGUGUAAACCAUCUGCUUCUUAGGUCAUUAAAAUAGAUCCAUUUAGUGUUAGCUCAGUCUUCAAUGGCUUUAGUCAGUAGGGUGAACAGCACAGUCCAGUUAGGGUAUUGAGGAUAGUCACUGCCCCAUAGCUCAGAGCUCUCCAGCCUGCCAAUUCAAGGCUCUGAGGAAGAAGGGAAAGGGAUCUAGGCUGACUGGGACCCUGGACUUUGUUUCCAUUCCCAAAACAGCAUGGAGAGGGUAACGCGCUCGCCUGGUAUGCGUGCAGGCCCGGGUUCGAUCCUCAGCACCACAUACAAAGAUGUGUCCGCUGAAAACUGAAAAAUAAAUAUUAAAAAAAACUCUCUCUCUCUCUCUCUCUCUCUCUCUCUCUCUCUCUCUCUCUCUCUCUUUAAAAAAAAAAAAAACCCAGCAUGAAGACCCUCUGAAACAAGGAGGGAAUUUAAGCCUGCAAAGUGGAAAAAUGAGGCUUUGUCAUCUUCAGGAAACAGUAGUCCAUGGUGUAUCCUGAUAUCCAGAGCUUCUGUCCUCCCUUUGUAAAUAUUUGCCAAUUGGGUGGAGGGUGGAGGCCACCAUGGAGAAGAAAGGAGGGAGAGGGCAGGUGUCAGGGAGUGCAUAUUUAUGGUCAGACACCUGAUUACUUGGUAUAGAUUCUAGUCAACUCUCAUGCACCCAGGGCCUGCCAUGUGUAAAGCUCUGCACCACUGGAGAGCAUUGUUACUGUUUUCCUCAGCCUAGAGGUGAGGAAACUGAGGCUUAUAGUAGCUCAACAAUUUGCUCAAGGUCUCACAGCUAGUAAGUGGAGAAUCAGAAUUCAAGUCCAGAUACUUGGACUUGCAAGAGCCUACUCCCAUAACUGGGCUAGUUGUAGCACCUGGUGAUGAAGCUUCAAAUGCAUGAAGUGGUUUGUAGUUUCCUCAGCAGCUCCCAGGUUUGUUUUUAAGUCUUUACAGCAAAGCAGUGAGGUCUUAGCAGGGGGUGUGAUAUACCCAGAUAUGCAUACUAAAUGAAAUGAUGGAUCUGGAAACACUUAGUAAAUGGGAAAAUGCUCUACAAAUAGGACAUAAUUAUUGUCUCUAAUUUACAAGUGAGGAACAUCAAAUCAGAGAGGUUAAGUGGUAUGCCCAAGGACACAUGAGCAGCUAAUGGCAGAGUCAGGACGCCAACCCAGGUCUUAGGAAUUCAAGACCAGUGCUUUUUGUUUCCUUGACAAUAUCAAAGAAAGAUUGGUUUGGGUUUACCUGCUCCCCCCACAAAUGGUUGCCAAGUGAAAAUUAGGCAGAGACUCUAAAAAAGAGACUCUGCUAACUUCUUAUCCACCUUUUAUUGCUUUGGCUUUUCUCUCCCUUUUCAGACCUCCAUGACACAGAAAGUAAAGUUGUGGAUGGAGUUGGCAGGGGCUUCAACAUGGGACUGGGCAUGGCAGACCCUGCGAGAGGGGUCAUUGGUGUGACACCAUCUCCUAAUUGGAAGGAGAGAGAGUUCUGGGGAAGGUUGCAGGGGAGAAGGAUGGACAGAAAUGCACUGUGGAUGGGCCAGGGUGGAUUUUAUGGCCCCAUAAAACAGACCACAAAUUAUUUGAAAGCAUUGAGGUAAACUGGAAUCCAGGGUAUAUCCCUGGGGGGUUGUGUGUUCACAUGCAGUAUUUUUUAAUAAAUAAAUCAUAAAUAUUUUGUUUAAAGAUCUUAGGGUCAAUACUAGAAAGAUGAAAAGAAAAUAACCACUGAGCACCAGCUCUGUAGUGCAGAUUCAUAUAAAAUAUGAAUUGCCAAAAUUUUAUCUUAGAACUAUACAGAGGAAGUCAUUCUUUGUUGAUAACCAUAUCUUAUCUAUUUGUUUAUUUAUUCAUUUUCAAAGGGAUAAGAAAUCAACCUUUAUUUUACACAUUCAAGAUGCAGAAUCAAUGCUGGGAGCAUUUAUGUAUAUUUGCUCAUUUAUUCCUCACAAAACUUUGCAUAAGUAGCACUAUUAUGUGAAUUUUUAAGAUGAGGAAAUUGAGUCUCUGAGAGAUGAAGUAACUUGAUUUGAGUUUCCUAGACAGUAAGAGAUGGCAGCAAGAUAUACAUCAUUACGAGCUACAUUAUUUCUUCAACAACACACUGAGAAAAUCCAUUUUUGCUUUCUUUGUUCUUCAUCCUUUCUUUGAUCUCAGAUCUUCUAUCUGGGUUCUCUCCCUUCCUGUCUGUAAUACAUCUUUUAUAUGAGGAUUUGCAUGUGGGAAACUCCAUUUUUGUUGUCAUUGCUGUUGGCGACUAAUGUCUUUGUCUCUUUUAUUCUUGAAGUGUAUGAUUCUCAGAUGACAGUUACUUUCUUUCGGCGUGUUGGAGGUAUUUUACUGCCGUCUUUUGGAAUGUUCAUUGCUAAUGAGAAGUAAGCUGCCUAAAUGGUAAUCACAUAAAAGCAAUAUCUUUUCUCUCUGCUGCUUUAAAAUAUUGUCUUUGGUGUUCUGCGGCUUCACUGAACUGUGUCUGGAUGUGAAUUUCUUUUUAUUUAUUCUUUUGGGGAUUCUUGGAUGUGGGUACUGGUAUUUUUCAUCACUUUUAGAAAAUUUAUAACUGUAAUCUGUUUAAAUGGUCUCUCUUUCCUCCUUCUGGGACUCCAGACAGACAUAUUGUUAGGCUUUAUUUUUUUCAGUAAAUAUAUUUCUAAUUGACAUAUAGUAAUUGCACAUAUCUAUUGGGUACAGUAUGACAUUUCAAUACAUAUAAACAAUAUGUGAUGAUCAGAUCAGGGUAAUUGGCAUAUCGUUCACCUCAGACAUGCAUCAUUUCUUUUGGGGGAAACAUUCAAAUUCCUCUUAGCUAGCUAUUGAAAUAUUCACUUAGUUACUAAAACCUCCCAGUAGGCCCCGCCUCUUAGAGGUGCCACCACCUCCCAAAAGCACCACCCUGACAACCAAGCAUUUAACACAGAGGCCUUUUGGGGGACAUUUGGGGAUUGAAACUAUAGCACUAGCCAUUUGCAUGGACAGACUGUUUUUCGUAUCUCUUAAUCUCUUUCAUAUUUUUCUGUGUCUUUGUCUUUCUGUGAUGCAUUUCUAUUAACUUAUUUUGACCUAGCUUUUAAUUCACUGUUUCUUCCUCAUACUGUCUGAUAUGCUAGUAAGUCUAUUCAGAGUUUGUUUUUUCAAUCUUCUUUUUUAAAUUUCUAAAAAUUUCCUGUCCAUUUUUCAAAUCUUCCUGGCUAUUCCUCAUGAUUUUUUGUUUCCUGCACAUAUCUUCAAGUUUUUCUUUAAUUUCUCUAAACACAUUAGGGUCAUUUGGUUUGUUGGCACCUGGUUAUUCUUGAUGCGGAGUUAUCCCUAGCUCAACAAUGCUUUCAGAAACAUUGAUUUUUAAAAAUAUUUUAUACAAGACUCUGAGUGGGAUGGCCCAUCCAGAUACUUAUCUUUCUGUAACACUGGCAAUAGAAGUACAGCAUAUGUAUUUAAAACUGGAAAAAUUAUGAGAGGGAAAUGUAGCCAAAUGGAACCUGGCAUUUAGGAACCUAGAAUUGCUCAAACUGUGCUGAAUGCCCUGAAGAGUGCAUGGGUUUCUGAUGAGAAGCCACUCCUGGUGAGGCUUGCCCAGCCAGGGUGGAUUCUGCUCAGCACCCACCCCACCAGUACACGAUGCCAGAAGUGGCAUGGCCAAACAAGAGGAAGAGGAGGCCUGUUUAGAAGGAAGAGAAUUGUAUCUCUAAGGGAUGAGAGGUACCUUGGGAUAAGACUCAGUGGAUCUGUCCUUUGAUUGCUGAUUUAAACCCUGUCAAAGUCAGUAGCAUUUGACCUUGUUCUCUUGGAGUUCAGGGGACAUGAGUUCUUUCAUCCCAGUGGCCCUGGAGAAUAUUCAAGAAUGAAUAUGGAGGGAACCACAGAGUCCAAUCUGGCCUCAACCCUCUCCUUCUCCCCAUUUACCACAUCCAAUCAGCCACCAGUUCUUGAUUUUAACCUCUAGCUCUAGAAUCUAUUCGCCUGCACCCACCUAUAUGCUGUCUCUGCCCCAGUCCACAAUCCCACCAUCUUGGACUAGAAUAAUUCUCUCACUAGCACCAAUAUAUCCACUCCCAAUCUCUCCCCUCCCAAAUUCUCCACACAAAUAAUCAAGUCAUCUUUUAAUAAUACAAAUCAGAGAAAGUGUCUCCCAAUCUUUUAAGUUUUAACUUCAGUGGCUUCCAGUGGCUUUUUGGGAUUGAAGUUCCAAAUCCCUACCCACAGGGUCCUCUUCUGUUGCCUGGUCUCCUUCCACUCUCUUCCACGUUAGACUUGUUCUGUCUACCCUGGUUUCCUUCCAUUGGAAAAAAGCCCUUUCUACCUGAGGCUGUUUACACCUGCAGUUCCUUCUUCCCAACUGCUUCCCUUGCCUUACUUCUACUCACCUGUGGACCCAAUUUCAAUGUGCUCUCCCCUCUAUCGUCUUCCAUUAGUCUUGUUGCUCUGUGUUUCCUAGAGCAAGACCUUAUAUCUCUUCAUCAGAGAGAUUACCUCUGUUUUGAUCCCAUAAUUAUUUUUUGAAAUUUCUGUUCAUUUUCUGUCUUCCAUACUGGUAAGAAUGAGAUUCAUGUGCAUGCUGUUCAUCACUAUGUCCCCAGCACCAAGCCUGGCACGUGGGAGAUUGGUCAUCUAGAGAAUAAAUCUGGGAGUACGUAUGGCUUUGGCUUGCAUCCUUGCUCCUACUGAGUUCACCCAUGACCUCUUUGCCAAGUCCAGUGUUUCUUCUAAAUCUUAACAGCUGCAACACUUGAAACUGCUGUCAGUCCUUUGUUUCUUGAACCAUUCUCCACUGUUCCUCAUCUACCGACUUUUAAGAUGUUAUUUCCUUUCUCUUCUUCUCUCUGAGGACUGAUUCUCCUCAGAUGACUUUCUCUGAGUGUUACCUAAAUGUCAGUGUCUUACACAAUUCUAGCCUUUUCUUCCCCCAUCCCUGUACCCAUUCUGUAAGUAGCUGUAAUUACGUCUGUGGCAUCAACCAUCAUAUUUAAACUAGUGAAUGCCAGACCUAUGUGUCUAUCUUGGAUCCCUCACCUCCCCAGCAUCGCCUUCUCUCACACUGCCUCCUAAAUACCUUCAUCCGGAUGUUUCAUGGACAUCUCAAUCUUAACAUUUCCCAAGUGGAGCUAGUUUUCUUCCUUGCCAAACUGGUUCUUCCUGCAGUGUUUCCAAUCUGGCCAAGUAAUUUCACCAUCUACCUAACCUUUGAAGCCAGAAGCCAUAGAGCCCUCCUAGGCAUUUCUGCAAUCUCAGUGAUCCUUUUCACAAUCUGUCCUGAACUGGUCCCCAUUCCUCCUCUCUGCACUGCCUCCACCUUAAUGCAGCCCCUGCUAUUGUUUGUCUGGAUCGUCACAUCAGCCUCUUCCUGGAUUCCUUCUGUGCUCUUCCCCUUCCAGUCCAUUACUGGCACUAACGGCAGAGACCCUGUCCCAACAAACAAAGCUCAAUCAGGCCACUGUCCAGCUUCAUCCCCACCUUUGUCCUUAAAGCCCACACAAUAAAACCCAUUCUCCUUAGGAGGAGAAGCAAGAGCCUCCCAACUGACCCUAGCUUCCCUCUGACUUUUGCCUCCUUUGUACCAUUCAUACCUUCUGAGUAGGUCAGACCUUCUCAUCACAUGUUUAUGGCUUUCUCAAACAUUAGCAGGCCACAGAAUUAUGAGGAAGGCUUGUUAAAGCAUAACAUAUGGGAUCUUAUCUCCAGAGGACCCGACUCAGUGGAUCUAAGAUGAGGCCCAGGAUUUGAAUUGGUAACAAGUUCCCAGGGGCUGCUGCUACCACUUUUCUGGUGACCACUGUGAGAACUACUGGUGUAAACCAGUAACCAUUAUAAGCCCUGAGACGUAUCACCUUGGCUGAAAUCCUGCUUCUGCUACCACUUCCUGUAUCACUCAACCUCUUCAUACCUCAGUUUGCUUAUCCAUAAAAUGGGGCUAAUACUCAGAGCUGCCUCAUAGGUUUUGAAGGAGGAUUAAUUAUGUUAAUACUUGGAAAUCACUUAAAAUGUUGCUUGGUGCUUUGUAACCAGGAACUGUUAGCUGCCACUGUUGUUUAUUUACUUUUAUCAUUAUUUCUAUCCUUGGUUUAGAAGGUCUGUCUUCCUCACUCUCUUUUGCUUGCAAAUUUCUGCAAGAACACAUCUGUGUUCAGCGGGUCAUUGUGCUAGCAUUGUCCCAGCCUGGUCUCCCUGGUCCUUUGUACUCAAUGCAGAACAGUGUACGUCUGCAUAACAUUUGCCAUCUUGAACUUGUCUAUUUACCAAGGGGGUGUCUCACCCACUGCAUAUUCCUCAAGUCUUCAUUUUUAUUGAGCUAUAAUUGACAAGUGAAAUGGUAUCAAUUUAAAGUGUGCAACAUGAUGAUUCAAUACAUGCAUAUUUUAUGAAAGAAUUCCUACAAUCAAGUUAGUGAUCACAUCCACCACCUCAUCUAGUUACCAUGUUUCAUGUAUGGCAAGAACCUUGAAGAUACUCUCCUGAGCAGAUUUUAAGUAUACGUGCAGUAUGGUUAACCAUAGUUGUCGUGCUGUGUGUGAGGUCCCCAGAACUUAUUCAUCUUGUAACUGCAGUGCUCCGCCUUUUUUUUUUGGUGGGGUGCAGGGUGUGGUACUGGGGAUUGAACUCAGGGGCACUCAGUCACUGAGCCACAUCCCCAGCCCUAUUUUAUAUUUUAUUUAGAGACAGGAUCUCACCGAGUUGCUUAGCACCUCACUUUUGCUGAGGGUGGAUUUGAACUUGUGAUCCUCCUGCCUCAGCCUCCCGAGCCACUGGAAUUAUAGGUGUGCGCCACUGUGCCUGGCUGAUACUCCACCAUUUGACAACCUUCCCUCAGCUACCUGCCCCUCCCCCCAACCCCUGGCAAUCACCACUCUAUUCUUUGUUUCUAAGACUUCAGCUUUUUAUAUUUCACAUGUAAGAUGAGACCACACAGUGUUUGUCUUUCUCUGACUUAUUUUACUUGGCAUAAUGCCCUCAAGUUUCAGUCAUGUUGUUGCAAAUGGCAGUAUUUCCUUCUUUUUGUGGCUGAAUGAUAUUUCAUUAUAUAUCCAUUAUACACACAUAUUCCUUACUGCAGUAUAUACAGUAUAAUAUUAUGUGUGUGGGGGGGUGGGUAUUUCACAAUUUCUUUUUUUGUCCAUGUUUUCUAUUGGUGCUUUAUAGUUGUACACAAUGGUGGAUUUCAUGUCACAUAUUCCUACAUGCACACAAUAUAACAAUAUAAUUUGGCCAGUGUCACUCUUCUGCACUUCCCCCCUUCUCCCCUCCUUCUACCUCCUGGUCACUUCCUCUAGUCUACUGAUCUCCCUUUGAUCCUCAUGAGAUCCCCCCAAUCCCCAUCAUGUUUCUUUUCCUUCGUCCUCUUCCCCAUAUAAGAGAGAACCUAUGACCCUUGUUCUUCUGAGUUGACUUACUUCUCUUAAUAAAAUGUCUCUAGUUCUAUUUAUUUUACGGCAAAUGACAUAAUUUCAUUUUUGUGACUGAAUAAAACUCUGUGUGUGUGUGUGUGUGUGUGUGUGUGUGUGUAUAUAUAUCACAUUUUCCUUAUAGAUUCAUCUGUUGAUUGACACCUAGGCUGGUUCCAUAGUUUGGAUAUUGUGAGUUGUACUGUUAUAAACAUGGACAUGCAUGUAUCACUGUAGCAUGAUGACUUUAAUUCUUCAGGAUAAACACUGAGGAGAGGUAUAGUCGGGUCAUAUGAUGGUUCCAUGCCUAGUCUUUUGAGGAGCCUCCAUACUGAUUUCCUUUAAGGUCAUACUAAUUUACACUCCCACCUACAGUGUAGAAGUGUUCUUUUUUCUCCACAGCCUCUCCAGAAUUUAUUAUUGUUCAAAUUUCUUUUUUUGUUCAUUGUCCAAGGACAGUGGACUUCAGUCAUUACCAUGUCUUGGUUGUUUUGAGUAAUGCUGCAGUGACAUGGCAACACAAAAUGUCUUUGAGCUACUGAUGUUGUUUCCCUUGGGUAUAUGCCCAGAAGUAGUGGUAGUUCUAUUUUUAUUUUUUUUUAGGAACCUCCAGACUAUUUUCAAGGCUUCAUUUUUGAGUCCCUGGAGCCCAGCAAAGUGGUAUUGACAUAUGUUGUAGAAUAUAGUACUAUAUUGAAAAUAUGGUAAAAUGGGUCUGGAGAAGAAACUGAGCACCCAGGAAUGGUAGGGAGAAGAGACAGUGUGUGUGUGACAUGAAGUUUGUAUAUGUUGUAGUCAGAUCAGUGGGAUUGUGAUUCAGGCAUAUAGUCCAUGUCGUCAGGGACACCUGAAUACACAUCACUUAGGAAAUCUUAGCUGUAAGUAUCAAAAACCUCACUCAAUAGGUUUAAAUAAUGAUACUUAUGAGAAGUCAGGGUUGUCUAAUUCAGUAGUUCAGCAAUGCUAUCAAAGACCGGUUCUUUCUUUCUGCUCUGUCCUCAGGCUUCCCCUCGUAGUCAAAAUGUGGCUGCAGAAGUUCCAGACAGUAUAACAACCAGCAGAGACAGAGCCAGGAAAGCAUUUGCAGGAGCUCCCCCAGCAAGUCUCCUCUCAUAUCUCAUAAUGGGACAUCCCAACUUGUUCACUGGCAAGGGGCCUGCUUUUGUUUUGAAUGGAUGAGUCUUCUGAUCUGGGGAUAAGCUUACUACCCUGAGUGGUGAACAACAUUGGAGUCCUGCUAGAUGGGAGGAAGGGAUCAAUGGAUAUUGCUCAUCAGGCAGAGUGUCUACCUCAAAGCUGGAUGCAGACCACAGGCUGAAAGUUGAGUGCCAAAGUCUUUUCUAGCUGGAGACUCCAUAGUGAAUUUCUCAAAGUCAAAGCAAAGAACCUUUUCCUCUGUUCUACCAGCAGGUUGUGCUUUGACCACAGCUGCCCUUUGGGAGGCUGGCACAGAGCCACAGCUAGAUCUUCAGGCUGCUUGUCAAGGGUGGGGCAGCAGGACAUGCCACUCUUCCUCCAUGAGCCCAUCCAGGGCCUCCACUGGGCACUUGGCACUGCCACGUCUUCCUAAGGAGAGAGCUGGGGAAGGAACCCGAGGGAGCCAGACUCCAGAGCCCUGGGACCCAGACAGAGCUCCAGGAAGGUUCAGGCAAGUAUUCUGUCUCUUCUCCCCUCAGAUGUGUAGAUGGACAUGAGGU
rnacentral:lncRNA from 1 species